UUUCCGUAGGUGAACCUGCGGAAGGAUCAUUCAUAAUAAGUGUUUUACUGCACUUUUUAAAAAUCAGUAUUCACCUUGUGUGCAAUGUUUGCUGACGAGUUCGCGUUUUUGCGGGUUCUUGGCAGUAUAAUACUAACCCUUUAUUGAAAUUUUUUGUCUGAAAUUUUUUGAAUACAUAAUUCGAAAUACAACUUUUAACAACGGAUCUCUUGGCUCUC
rnacentral:misc_RNA from 1 species